UGGGCCCGGCCAAUUAAUGCAGUCGUACCAGGUCUCGUUAAUGAUCGGUGCUUGCACGGAGAUUCAACAUGUGAACGAGUGGCGGACGGGUGAGUAACACGUGGGUAACCUGCCCUUAAGUGGGGGAUAACAUUUGGAAACAGAUGCUAAUACCGCAUAGAUCCAAGAACCGCAUGGUUCUUGGCUGAAAGAUGGCGUAAGCUAUCGCUUUUGGAUGGACCCGCGGCGUAUUAGCUAGUUGGUGAGGUAAUGGCUCACCAAGGCGAUGAUACGUAGCCGAACUGAGAGGUUGAUCGGCCACAUUGGGACUGAGACACGGCCCAAACUCCUACGGGAGGCAGCAGUAGGGAAUCUUCCACAAUGGACGCAAGUCUGAUGGAGCAACGCCGCGUGAGUGAAGAAGGCUUUCGGGUCGUAAAACUCUGUUGUUGGAGAAGAAUGGUCGGCAGAGUAACUGUUGUCGGCGUGACGGUAUCCAACCAGAAAGCCACGGCUAACUACGUGCCAGCAGCCGCGGUAAUACAUAGGUGGCAAGCGUUAUCCGGAUUUAUUGGGCGUAAAGCGAGCGCAGGCGGUUUUUUAAGUCUGAUGUGAAAGCCCUCGGCUUAACCGAGGAAGCGCAUCGGAAACUGUGAAACUUGAGUGCACAACAGGACAGUGGAACUCCAUGUGUAGCGGUGAAAUGCGUAGAUAUAUGGAAGAACACCAGUCGCGAACGCUGCUGUCUGGUCUGUAACUGACGCUGAAGCUCGAACGCAUGCGUAGCGAACAGGACUAGAUACCUCUGGUAGUCCAUCGCCUGUAAACGAUGAAUGCUAGGUGUUUGUAGGGUUUCCAGCUCUUUCAAGGCCGCAGCUA
rnacentral:rRNA from 1 species